UCACCCCUCAAGCCCCGUGCUUGGUGUUGGACGGUCGGCCGCUCACCGCGGCCCGUCCUAAAGACAAUGACGGCGGCCUGUGGUUCCCCCGGUACACUGAGUGUCUCGACACACGUGCUGGACAAGGGCGCCCAGGUCCCGGUCUUCUCCUUAACCGGAACUAUUUUACAA
rnacentral:misc_RNA from 1 species